ACCUUCUGAUCCAUGUUGUGUAACUCAUCACUCACACGAACAAUCUCCCAAAGCACCACAAGGGAUGGUUGCUAUAAGCUGAAUCUUUACGGCCAUGUGGAGAUUUAAUGAAGGCCUGGGAUGUAAUCGCAGGUGAUAAUUCUAUAACGUGUUCCAACAGGUGGUUUCUUAUAAUACAUUGUAUUUCCAUGAUAUAGGACAGAGGUAGUCAAUCUUAGGUACUUUAGAUGUUUUCGACUUUAUCUCACAUUAUACUUUUACUGUCAUAAUCCUGGCAAAGCAUCAAGGAAGAUAUAGUCCACAUCAUUUGGGGUGAUGAUGGGCGCCUACCCCAAUAGAGUACGUUGCAGACCACAAGCUAAGGGAUCCCAAACUCCUCAACUAUGAAGAAGAUAGGUGCUAGAAUGUUAAAAUAUACUAAAGUGUUUUAUUCAUUAGCCCUUGCCAUUUCUUCACAAUUCCUACAUUCAGUAUUGUGAUAUUCCAGAUCCUACAGCUGGCCAUAUACACGUGUUAAC